CGGACGGGUGAGUAACGCGUGGGGAACCUGCCCUGUACAGGGGGAUAACACUUAGAAAUAGGUGCUAAUACCGCAUAAGCGCACAGUAUCGCAUGAUACAGUGUGAAAAACUCCGGUGGUACAGGAUGGACCCGCGUCUGAUUAGCUGGUUGGCAGGGUAACGGCCUACCAGGGCGACGAUCAGUAGCCGGCCUGAGAGGGUGGACGGCCACACUGGGACUGAGACACGGCCCAGACUCCUACGGGAGGCAGCAG
rnacentral:rRNA from 1 species